rnacentral:rRNA from 1 species
GUUUUUUCUCSUGUCUCAGGAAAAACGGGGGGGGUGUUUUUAACACAUAAAAGUAGAAGGAAAAGCCUUUUUGGGGGGUUCAAGAGGGGAAAGGGGGAGUGACACACGAGUGAUUUUUCCCCGACUCUUGGAGAUACACCGGGAAAAGUGGUUUAAACCCGGUAUGUCCACUCCUCGCACAGGGUGGGGGUGGAAAAGUUUUUCGGUGCAGGAUGAGCUCGCGGCCUAUCAGCUUGUUGGUGGGGUAAUGGCUCACCAAGGCGACGACGGGUAGCCGGCCUGAGAGGGUGACCGGCCACACUGGGACUGAGACACGGCCCAGACUCCUACGGGAGGCAGCAGUGGGGAAUAUUGCACAAUGGGCGAAAGCCUGAUGCAGCGACGCCGCGUGAGGGAUGACGGCCUUCGGGUUGUAAACCUCUUUCAGCAGGGACGAAGCGCAAGUGACGGUACCUGCAGAGAUGCCCG